UAUAAACGGCUGCGGAGAAUUGGACACCAACUACAGUCAUUAUCCACAUAUCGUAAGACGUGGAUUAGACCAUCCAGGCGCUAUAUGACAAAGCUCUUAGCAGCUCUGCAAAGUGUGAGUUAGUCUUUUGUUGGGUUUUAUAUUUGUUAAAAUAAUUUAUGUGACAUUUUGCAUUAUUAUUUUUUCCUGUUUUUAUUUCUUCGAGGGCUAUAUACACCGCUACAAUAUUGGACCGCUUUUAGUGUAUGUAUAUACCAUUACUUUGCUGUAUUCACUUUAAGUAUUUUAUAUCUUCUGGCGCGGUUUACCAUUCUGUUUUUCUUCUACGAGUGGAGAUACUUUUUAUUUUUAAGGGGGGGGGGGGUGCCAAAAUGCAUCUUCGCCUGUGUAGCUAAAAAUCCUAGCACCAGAACUGGAUGCAGUGUGUGUAGUGGAUGCAGUAUGUAUUUGUGUAAUGGAUGCAGUUUGUGUAGUGGAUGCAGUGUGUGUGGGUAAGUGUGUGUAGUGGAUGCAGUAUGUGCUGUGUGUAGUGGAUGCAGUGUGUGCAUUUGUGUGAUGGAUGCAGUGUGUGUUUGUGUAGAGGAUACAGUGUGUUUAGUGGAUGCAGUUUGUGUAGUGGAUGCAGUGCGAGUUUUUGUAGUAGAUGCACUGUGUAGUGGAUGCAGUGUGUGUGUUUGUGUAGUGAAUGCAGUUUGUGUGUGAAGUGGAUGCAGUGCGUGUGUUUGUGUAAUGAAUGUAGUGUGUUUGUGUAGUGGAUGCAGUGUGUGUGUGUUUGUGUAGUGGAUGCAGUGUGUGUGUGAUGUAGUGUGUGUUUGUGGUAUUGAGUGCUGUGAGCAGUAUAGGUCCGGUGGCACACCAUGUUGUCUUGAGAUGUUUGGCCAUGUAUACCUCCAUAUCCAGAAGCAAUCUUCUCGUGAGCCAAGAGAGAGUGGCCACAGGUUGCUAUUACAAUGCUUUACUCAGCACAUAAUGUAUGCCGGAGCAUUGCCAUAGCAACCCAUGGUCACACUCUCGUGGGUUGCAAAAAGAGAUGAUGUAAUUCUGCAGACUCCCGGGCCCCUGUUUUAUACAAUGAAGAGGGGUUCUGGGAUUGCACGUCCUCGCUAUAUAUAUAGCGAGCAUUUACUCACUAUAUAUGUGUGCAAUAAGCCAGUCAGGACCCCUAGCAGCAGCCAGUUACAGUGUACAGGGGCGGCAACAUGCCACCCCCUCUAGGUGCCACCUGGAGCCAUGGCUCCACUGAGGCCAAUGGAUGGGCCGGCCCUGAAUGGUACAACCAGAUUUCUGAGAAAGCAGGUUGUGAAAAACCCUUAAGUGACUGCAAAAGACCUGCAGCAAGACUUGGUGGCAACUGAGGUUUCAGUGAGCACAGUAAGACACGUACUAAAUGCAGAAGGUUUUGAUGCCAGAAAUCAAUAAUGUACACUACUACUGACCCAAAAGCACAAGAAUAGUUGCCUCCAAUAUGCUUUAAAUCAUAUAAAAAAGUCAAAGAAGUUUUGGGAUUCAGUUCUGUGCAGUGGUGAAAUAAAACGUAUACUGUUUGGCCCAAUGGAUCAGUGGUAUGUCUGGAGAAAGAAGAAUGAAGCAUAUUCUGAAAAAAAUCACUCUACCUACAGUUAAACAUGCUGAUGGCUCGGUGAUGCUCUGGGGCUACUUUGCAUCCUCUGGCACUGAAAACCGGCAGUGUGUGGAAGGCAAGAUGGAUUCAUUGAAGUAUCAGGUAAUCCUAGAAAAAAACCACUUUGUUCCGUCUGUGAGGAAACUGAAGCUUGGGUGUCAUUGGACGUUCCAACAAGACAAUGAUCCCAAGCAUUUCUCAAAUUCCACCAAGACCUGGUUGCAGUGGCCAUCACAGUCACCUGACUUGAACCCCAUAGAAAAUCUCUGGGAGGAUUUGAAAAAGGUGGUUGCAACAUGCAAACCCAAGAAUGUUACUGAACUGGAGGCCAUUACUAUUGAGCAGUGGGCUAAGAUUCCACAGGAACACGGCCAGAAGCUGGUGUCUGGCUAUGCAUCUCGUUUGUAGCAGGUCAUAACAGCAAAAGGGUGCUCUACUAAGUACCAAAAUUGCUUGCCAUGAAGGGGUUGAAAAAUGUUGAUACUGGAGAAGUCAUUAUACGUUGCAUUUUCAGUUGAAUUUGAGGAAACCACUUGAAGCAUUUGUUAUGUUGAGCUAUUUCAAUUACUUUUGUUUAAUUGUUCAUUACAAACAGCUGGCAGUCUAUACAUGCUUUUCAAUAGGGGUUGAAUAAUUUUGAUUUAAACUGUACUUGGGAAUGAUCAGAGAUACCAUGCUGUCCAACAAGGUAGAAAGAACCCUUGGAGAUACCUGGGUUUAAGCAGAGACAUAUCCUGGUUACAAUGUAUAUGGUGAAUUUUUGGCCCCUUAAAACAUCAUUAUGGAGUAACCAGGGAUCAAGGAAAUUGAGUAAAAAUGACGUAUCACAAUCUAUAUCAAGACACCCUUCCAAAAAAGUACUCAUCCUGGUGUAUAUUAGGUUAAUUACUGUGUUCAUGUUGCCUUAUAUUACAACAACCAUUUAAAAAAAGUCCAACAAGUUUAUAUAAUNNNNNNNNNNNNNNNNNNNNNNNNNNNNNNNNNNNNNNNNNNNNNNNNNNNNNNNNNNNNNNNNNNNNNNNNNNNNNNNNNNNNNNNNNNNNNNNNNNNNAGACGAUACAAAGUGUUUUUGGAACAUAACAUUUCAAUAAGGAAUAAUAAAUGUUGCUAUUGUGAUAUCUAGCAAGAUGUGUCCUAAUGUAAAGGGCUUGAAUAUUGAAAUUGUUAAUGGAUACAAUAUUUACCCCGAUUUGGGGUAAUUAUUUGAGUUGUUAUGUAGUUCUAGAUCUCACUGGUUCAUAAUAAACAUGCAACAGAUUUGUGAAUAUCUUAAAGAAAAUUAAUGUUCUGCUGUAAUAGAGGUUGAGGUCGCUGAGUACAACUUUCUUUUAAUAGGAUGCAAUGGAUAUGUACAAACACGAUCCAUUCUUCAAAUGUCAUUCAUGUUGUAUGGAGCAUGUAACAUAACCUUCCACCGCAGGGUAUGCUGGUGUGCAAAUACUAGGUACAAACAGCAAUAUAUCAUUGCCAUGGAGUCUUUCUGUACAGCCUGACUACCAAGUAACGCCUUUACAGUCCUUCAAAUCAACAAACAUAAACACUUACUCCAAGUCCUGGGGAACUUAAAUUCUAUUUUAAGAUAAAAUCACAGGGGAAAUAAUUUUUGCUGAGAUAAAAAUCAGAAACUUAACUGGUUUAAAAGGACACUAUAUGCACCAAAACAACUUUCGCUUAAUGAAGCAGUUUGGGUAUAUAGAUAAUGAUCCUGCAGUCUCCCUGCUCAAUUCUCUGCCAUUUAGGAGCCUGCACGAAAAAAAAAAAAUGGUUUAAUUUUCAAUCAGAUGUGAGAGUAUAGGUUACUUUAGAAGUUUUUAUCCCCUGCUCUGUAAAUUGACUAGGGCUGUAUGAAAAACAUGAUUUGUCUCCUAAAUGGCAGAGAAUUGAGCAGUGAGAGUGCAGGGGCAUGAUCUAUGCACCAAAACCACUGCUUGUGGACUGUGGAAAAACUAAAUUUGGCCAAAACAAUUUGUUGUUUUUUUUAAAGUUGGCUACCUGAAUUUCGUUGACGAUGUGUUACAGGAUUUUGGACGACCCAUCGUUUGGCUAAAAUUGAGACUAACUGCAAUUUUUUGAAAAUGAAUACAGUCUAAUUGGAAGCUAAUGCAUGAAUCAAUAGCAUAACAUGGAUUGAAUUUUUAUUGAUAGAGGAGUAUACGCAUGCAGGUUUUAAGUUACUCUUUCACGAGUACUAACUGCAUGACAUAUUAGAGUCUUUUCACGGUUGCUGCGCAGCUGAACACCUUGAUAUUAGAUCGCAUGGAAAACUUAAUAGUAAUGUUUAUUUAUUUAUUAUUAUUAUUUUUGAGUAUCAUUUUAAGCAUUAUGUGCAUAUGUAACAUUUGCUGAACUAAGUCAGAGAAGUAUAUAUUACAGGCAUUGCAUGGCGAUUUUUACAGAGUAGUCCUUAUUAAAUUAAGAUAAGAUUGUUCUGAGAAUUCCGAGAAAGGUCUUUCUAAUAGGCCUUUAACAUGUUUCCAUUGUAAGUAGUUUUAAACAACUUAAAUAUGUCUUGCCUGGGGCAAAGGGUAGAAUGUUUCCAAAAUAUGUGAGUUUGUAAAGUAUAAGAGGUGGGAAAGGAAUCUGUAGUGUUCUGAACAGCCUUUUCCAGAUAGUGUUAAGAAGGUUGUUAUAUGUAACAGCAUCUGAAAGUCCAAGUACUUAAAAAAGCUUUUACUCCACAAAUCGUAGUUUUUGAGAUACAAAAUUGUGUUGUUGUUUUUUUGCUGUGCUUCAAUCUAAAAUGUUUGAAUGCUGUCAUCAGCUAGGUUAUUCAGUUCCAAAUGUUUAUUUUAGUAUUUUUUAUUUCCCACUGUAUUUUAGCAGUGUUGGUCUUUGUUGAGGGUUGAAACAGAAAUUAACCCCUUUAUUACACAACUUCUGGAAUAAAUGGGAAUCAUGACGGAAUAUUUCCGUCAUAUGUCGUUAAGGGGUUAAGAAGCUUUACAAAAUAAAUCACAAUGAGUUUGCUUCCUUAGAGGUUUCUGUCACUUGUAGCAAUCCCAGCAAAAUAAAACCAAAUAAUAAAAACACAAACAAAAAUGACCAAAGGGAAUUAUCCUAAAAAGGUAUGUAAACAUAACGUCAGCACUAUGAGGAAAGUUCAGCAUCUCCAUGCAGAGGGUGAAGACUCUGAAUGUCAGUCACACUGUGCAGCACUGCCCCAGGAAGCACCUUUAGCAGCCAUCUGAGGAGUGGCCAGUGGAGGUAUCCCUAGGCUGUAAUGUAAACACUGUUUUUUUUCUCUAAACAAACAGUGUUUACUGCAAAAAACUGCUGUAACUGACUGUACUCACCAGAAAAAUUACAUUAAGCUGUAGUUGUUAUGGUGACUUUAGGGUCCCUUUAAGCUUAAAAUGUGAACUUCGAUAACCCUGAUUAUUGACACUUGAGUGAAAGAACCUGUAUGUGAUUUUCGCUGGCUCUCCUGCAAAAGGGCUUUCAUCAGGAUGGCAACAGUGGAAGAAAUUUUUAACCAAAACUGCAUCACCAUGGUGACAAGCAAAAUGUCAGCGAUGAAUGGAAUGGAAAUUUACAACCAGGUCUCUGUCAAUUCAGUGCUAAACAGAGGACCAGACAGGUAGAAUCUACAAAUGACAGCCUCUCUCAUCAAUCAUAUGUCUUUUACAAAAUUAUCUGAACAGUACGAAAACAGCAAAAAGGUAUAUGAUACAACACAGGCAAUACAGAGUAUGGGAUACCACAGAAAGUAUAAAGGGUUUCUUAUAUGGAAAAUGUAUAUACAUUAAAUAUAGGACAUGAUAAAAGUACAGGACGUAUAAAAUGUGGAAUAGAAUUCAAAUAGGGAAGACACCAGCAUUGCCUUAGUAAGGGGUAAAUUACAAUAAAUCAUUAGUGAUGUACCGAACGGUUCGCCGGCGAACGGUUCCUGGCGAACAUAGCAUGUUCGCGUUCGCCACUGCGGGCGAACAUAUGCGCGGUUCGACCCUCCCCCUAUUCGUCAUCAUUGAGUAAACUUUGACCCUGUACCUCACAGUCAGCAGACACAUUCCAGCCAAUUAGCAGCACACCCUCCCUAGCAGACCCUCCCACAUCCUGGAAGGCAUCCAUUUUAGAUUCAUUCUCAAGCUGCAUGCUUAGUAAGAGGAGGGAAAGUGUAGCUGCUGUUCAUAAAAUAGGGAAAAGCAUAGCUAGGUUAGGGAUAAGGGUAUGCUUUUUUUUUAUUUAUUUUUUCUAUGUAAUGUAAAUGCACUUAGUUGUCUGCCACUGCUGCCAGCUUCUGUGUCAGGCUCACAAUGCAUACUGUGCCCAUUUCCCCAGUCAGUGCCACCAAUUACAUCUGGUGUCACAAUAGCUUGGAUUUAAAAACAAAAAACUUUUUUCACUGUUAUAGAUUGAAUAGCAGUCAGUGUCCUUAAAGCGGGUGUGUUACGCUAACAGUGGAUACGGUGACCAGUGCCACCACUUAGAUCUGGUGACUCAAAGCUUGUAUUUAAAAACAAAAAACACUUUUUCACUGUUAUAGAUUGAAUAGCAGUCAGUUGUCUGCCACUGCUGCCAGCUUCUGUGUCAGGCUCACAGUGCAUACUGUGUCCAUUUCCCCAGUCAGUGCCACCACUUAGAUCUGGUGACACAAAGCUUGGAUUUAAAAAAACAAAACAUUUUUUUCACUGUUAUAUAUUGAAUAGCAGUCAGUGUCCUUAAAGCGGGUGUGUUACGCUAACAGUGGAUACGGUGACCAUAGCCACCACUUAGAUCUGGUGACACAAAGCUUGGAUUUAAAAACAAAAAAACACUGUUUUCACUGUUAUAGAUUGAAUAGCAGUCAGUGUCCUUAAAGCGGGUGUGUUACGCUAACAGUGGAUACGGUGACCAGUGCCACCACUUAGAUCUGGUGACACAAAGCUUGAAUUUAAAAGAAAACAAACACUUUUUUCACUGUUAUAAAUUGAAUAGCAGUCAGUGNNNNNNNNNNNNNNNNNNNNNNNNNNNNNNNNNNNNNNNNNNNNNNNNNNNNNNNNNNNNNNNNNNNNNNNNNNNNNNNNNNNNNNNNNNNNNNNNNNNNUAUCAAUGUUUUUACAUAACCAGUGAAUUCAGCACCAAAAAUACUCGAUAAAUCACAGAAAACACUUUUUUAAUGAUUAACCAAUACAUCUUCCCUGAGCUGAUGAUGUUUGCAAACAGAUUUAGAUAACUUUAACUAAUGAUCCCUUGUUAAACAUUAAACUAAUUAAAUUAUCAAUUGAAUAUAUAACUACAAUAUAAUACAAUAUAAUAUAGCAAAAUCAAUAACAACAAAUAUUCGUGUACAAAAUGAUCAAAACGUGUGAUCUGAACGUACUAAGAGAAACAUACACACAUAUCCAGUGGUGUAUUUAGGAUUUGUGCUGCCCUGGGAGAGCUGGAGUGGAUUACUUACCUGUCCAGUGGGGCUGCUGGUCGGGCAGGAAGGGGGCAGACAGGCUGAGUAGGCAGCGAGGGAGCUUUAAUCUUCCUGCUCAGCUCCCUAGCACACCACUUAGUGAUGCCGGCAGCCGGUCUGACGUCAUGUUCCGGCUCCUGGCUUCAUUAAGCGGCGUGCGAGGGGGCUGUGCAGGAAGAGCUCAGGUGAGCAUGCUGCCUUGCUACCCGCUGCCCGCCCUGGGGGCUCAAAAUUGGCUCUUCAGCCCCCCCCAAGACAUGAGGCAAACCAGGGAACUGCCUGGUUGUUUGGGGGCGGCUUUUUUUGCCACCCGCUGCAAAGUGCCGCCCAAGGCAGAUGCCUUGUUUGCCUCGUGUAAGAUACGUCCCUGCACAUAUCAAUGUUUAUUUAGAACGCAGGUUAAUGAUACACGUCACCUAUUAUCAUCACUACUGCACAAUAAAAUGAGUGAAAAGGCCAGGUCAGAUAUUUCUAACAGUAUGAAAUAAAAUACAUUAAGUUAGAUAAAGGUAUAUAAACGCGAGGGCAUAAUGAGAGAUGUGUCUUGACUUUUUGCACAGUGGGAAAGGUAAGUGGGUAAUUAAAGGGUCUGUGGGCCAAAAUAUACCACAGGUACCAGGACACAGGUAGGUAAGGGCUAGGAAUGCUCCAAUAGGGACUGUGUGCUCCCAUCCAAUUACAAAACUGAUAGUGAGGGUGAGCAGUGGCGUACACAUGACCCAUGGGGCCCCGGCUCGAAAAUUGAUCCAGGGGCCCCCCCCACACUUACUCGGCGUGGGUCGGGGCCGCGACACAUGGCGGCGGGCACCUGGUCGCAGGGCUGCGACCCCGCGACCGCGUUAUGCACACACACUUAAAGGACCACUACAGACACCCAGAUCACAUCAGCUCAAUGAAGUGGUCUGGGUGCCAGGUCCCUCUAGUUUUAACCCUGCAUCUGAAAACAUAGCCGUUUCAGAGAAAUAACUGCAGCAAAGGUAUCCAUUACUAACCUAUAGAUAUUUGGGUAUUACAUUUCCCAUGAUGCUUUGCCACCUAUCAAUGGCAUAGGGAGACUGUCCAAACUGUAUCAGUCCUGUACUGUAUACCAUGUGCUCUAAAGGGAUAUGUGAUAAAGAAUAGAAAUAGCAGCAUUCUAUACAUGGAAUCGAACUUAGCUUUUGCAUUUAGUUUUUUUCAAUUCACUGGAUAUGAUUUUGCCCUGCUUUUGUAGAUCCUUCACAUCUCCGAUGAAGGCAUAGUAAAAGGCCCAUGCUGCAAAACAAGCUUAUUUCCCAACACUUUAAACUGACAAAGAGGGACAUUUUAAUUUUAGGAAUGUGAGUAGCAUGUGGCCAGGGCUGUUCUGAGACAUUUUAUGUGACUUACUAAUAGAAAUAUAUGCAAGUAAAAUGUAAUUUAGAAUAAGAACUAUGUCUUCCAUCAGAAAUAUCAGGGUUCCUUACAGAAAAUAUAGGCCACUCUCUCACAUAUUAUUAUUAUUAUUAGUAGUAGUAAUUAUUAGUAGUAAUUAUAUAGCGCCAGCUUAUUCCGCAGCGCCUUACAAUAAGAGGGGAAUUUACCAAAUGAGACAAUAACUAAAUGUAACAGGAACAAUAGGUAGCUGAGGACCCUGCUCAAACGAGCUUACAGUCUAGAGGAGGUUUGGUAUAAAAACACCAUAGGAAGGGUAUUGAGAGAGACAGUAAAUAGACAUGGUCGGAAAGUAGCAGAACUGGAGGUGAGAGUGGAGUGUGGCCCUAUAGGAGAGAGCGAGAGGAAGGUUUGAGAGAUAGAAGUUACUCUUGGAGGCCAUAAGCCAUACACAUUCCUUGCCACACACAAAUAUACAUACAUUAACUUUCACAUGCACAUUAUCAGGCACAAUACACACACUGUCAAACAGACACACAACCAAAUAUUUAAGCUCACACACAUAGCUAAAUGCACACACUGGAAAACAGACACACAGCCAGACAUACACACUCACACACAAUAGAUAUACAUACACUGUCAAACUGACAUACAGAUAGAGACACACACAGUCAGAUACUUACAACAUGGAACCUCAACCUAUUCCCUGCACAGCAACCAGCAAUAAAUAUACCCUGCCCCCAGAGGCGUAACAGAGGCCCCCCAUACAACUUCCUCUUACCCCCCACGUCCCUGCCCCCCCCCACACACAUGCAGAAAACAGAUACACAUGCAGACACAUACAUAGAACACACACACACAGAGACCAAUACAUACAUACUGUUAUGCUAUAAGUAGAACAGAUAAAGAACACAACUGCAGAAUGGAUAACUUAGUUAUUUUAAUUAGGAUAGAUCUAAGGUUUUGGAAAAUGUCCUUUAUCGUUAAGCGAGUACUGUAGCUUUAAGGAUUUCUCCGCAAAAAAAGCAAUUAGUUGAAGCAAAAGCAAUAGUAGCAGAUUAAUUGCAACAAUGUAGUAGCAAGCGAAAUGGAUAGAAAGCAGGAAACAGUCCAAAUUUAAUAACAACUCAAUUCCCAGAUAUAGAGAACCCGAAUACUUAAGGUUUGAUGGGAGUACACUUCCACAAGCUGGUUAGCUGAAAUCAAGAAGGCUGAAUAACAUAGAUCAAUCAGGUUCUUGAGAGUUAGAGUUAACAGGAAAAACUUUGUUCAGUCCGAGAUCAGGGAUUGGAGAUGACAGGCAAUCCGUUUAAACAGUCCAGUGGUUCGGUACACAAUCAAAGAGGAGCUUAGACGGCAUAAGGAACACAGAGGUAACCUAAAACAUUAACUAAGCAAUUUAAAACUGGUUUCUCUAUAAGGCAUGAGAAAGCCGCGUCAGAGAAGGGGACGAGGACUGUUCCGUCUACCAGGAAGUGUCAGAAACGGAGCUGAAUAUAAUUUGACAGGUAAGUUCUGACACUCACAGACACACAAACACUUACAGACACACACACUCAGACACACAAACACUUACAGACACACACACUCACAGACACACACACUUACAGACACACACACACUCAGACACACAUACACUUACAGACACACACAUGCACAUACAAACAC
rnacentral:lncRNA from 1 species